AAGUCGUAACAAGGUCUCCGUAGGUGAACCUGCGGAGGGAUCAUUAUCAGAGAUGGCGGGCCCCCGCGCCCCCGUCCCCAACCCUUUGUUGACCAAGACCUUUUUGCCUCGGGGGCAGAGCGGCCGCCGCCGCCCCCGGAGGACCACCAAACUCUGUCUCUAUACGUCGGAGUCUUUGAUUAAAUGAAUCAAAACUUUCAACAACGGAUCUCUUGGUUCUGGCAUCGAUGAAGAACGCAGCGAAAUGCGAUAAGUAAUGUGAAUUGCAGAAUUCAGUGAAUCAUCGAGCUUUUGAACGCACACUGCGCCCUUUGGCAUUCCGAGGGGCAUGCCCGUUCGAGCGUCAUUUCAAACCCAUCAAGCCUGGCUUGGUAUUGGUGUCCGGGGCGACCCCGCACCUCUAUAGUCGCCGGCUGGUAAGCUCUGAUCUCAGCGUCGUGAUCAAUCAAAUUCGCUUUGCAGAGGAGUGAGCCGUGCCGGUUAAGAAUUAUCUAAAGGUUGACCUCGGAUCGGGUAGGAAUACCUGCUGAACUUAA
rnacentral:rRNA from 1 species